UGGGGAAUUUUCCGCAAUGGGCGAAAGCCUGACGGAGCAAUACCGCGUGAGGGAGGAAGGCUCUUGGGUUGUAAACCUCUUUUCUGAGGGAAGAAACAUGACGGUACCUCAGGAAUCAGCAUCGGCUAACUCCGUGCCAGCAGCCGCGGUAAUACGGAGGAUGCAAGCGUUAUCCGGAAUGAUUGGGCGUAAAGCGUCUGUAGGUGGCCAUUCAAGUCGAUUGUUAAAGCACGUAGCUUAACUACGGAAAGGCAGUGGAAACUGAAGAGCUAGAGAACGGAAGGGGUAGAGGGAAUUCCCGGUGUAGCGGUGAAAUGCGUAGAGAUCGGGAAGAACACCAGUGGCGAAAGCGCUCUACUGGACCAGUUCUGACACUGAGGGACGAAAGCUAGGGGAGCGA
rnacentral:rRNA from 1 species